GUUCCAGAGUGGAGAGGUGGACUGCUGGCCCAUGUCCUGCCCUCCAGUGGUGGACUGUGAGUUUACCCAGGUGCCCGAGGGGCAGUGCUGCCCGCGCUGCAUCACCGACCCCUGCCAGGCUGACACCGUCCGUAACGACAUCACCAAGACGUGUGUAGACGAGAACGGACUGAUGCGCUUCAGCGGAGCCGCCUGGACCAAACACAGAACAGAAUGCACCCUCUGCCAGUGCAAGAACGGACAUGUCUGUUGUUCAGUGGACCCCCUGUGCCUUUAGUCUGGCUCAGACAGAAAGAUAGUGAGAGCGAGCUCUACAAGGCAUCUAUCUUUGUACAGUCUCACCUUUAAUAACAACUGAAACCCCUCCCCCAAACCUUCAACAUCUUUAUACCAAAUACCACCUGAGCCCACCGUUCCAAGUGGAUGGAUGGCCUGCCAGCCCAACUCCAACCCUUGGUACCCAUCGACAGACUAUUGGAUGGUAUUGGAUGUUGUGAAAUAAAGUCUUCUGAUUGUAAAGAAACCUAAAGAAGUAUCUGUAUUCAGUGUCCACCUCUUUCUGCCCGUCUUUCAUUUUGUAAAGGAAAAGGACCUUGGUAUUUGUGAAAAGUAAUGUUCUGGACUUUCUCCACUCCUUUUCUGUGUACAUUCAGUUGUGUUGUUUGGUUCUGUAUUAUGGACUGUUUGUUCAGGGUUGAAUUGAAUUUAUUUGAUGGCUUGGUAUGGUGUAUUGAUGAAAUAAAGAUGUCCAUUAAAAAGGGGGACUGGUUUUCCCUCUCUGUAUGCGAUGUCGGUUUGUUUUAUAAUUCCACUCCUCCCCUAUGGAGCUGAGCUGAGGGGGAGGCUGCCAUAAAUGCUCUAUGCGUGUAAUAUGUGUAUCACUGCAUGUCACGUGCCGCUACAAACUGAUCCACGUGCUGUUACUUAACGCUGUUAUCUCUCUUUCUUUCCAUCACAUAUUUUCUCUCCAUAACCCCUGAAUCUCUCUCUCUCUCUGUCUCUCUCUCUUUCUCUCUCUCUAUCUUUCUCUCUCUCUCUCUCUCUAUCUCUCGCUUUCUCUCUCUCUCUCUCUCUCUCUCUCUCUCUGUCACUCUCUCUCGCUCUCUCUUUCUCUCUCUCUCUCGUCUCUCGUUAUCUCUGUCUCUCUCUCUCUCUCCCUCUCUCUCUCUCUCUCUCUCUCUCUCUCUCUCUCUCUCUAGAACGGACAUGUCUGUUGUUCAGUGGACCCCCUGUGCCUUUAGUCUGGCUCAGACAGAAAGAUAGUGAGAGCGAGCUCUACAAGGCAUCUAUCUUUGUACAGUCUCACCUUUAAUAACAACUGAAACCCCUCCCCCAAACCUUCAACAUCUUUAUACCAAAUACCACCUGAGCCCACCGUUCCAAGUGGAUGGAUGGCCUGCCAGCCCAACUCCAACCCUUGGUACCCAUCGACAGACUAUUGGAUGGUAUUGGAUGUUGUGAAAUAAAGUCUUCUGAUUGUAAAGAAACCUAAAGAAGUAUCUGUAUUCAGUGUCCACCUCUUUCUGCCCGUCUUUCAUUUUGUAAAGGAAAAGGACCUUGGUAUUUGUGAAAAGUAAUGUUCUGGACUUUCUCCACUCCUUUUCUGUGUACAUUCAGUUGUGUUGUUUGGUUCUGUAUUAUGGACUGUUUGUUCAGGGUUGAAUUGAAUUUAUUUGAUGGCUUGGUAUGGUGUAUUGAUGAAAUAAAGAUGUCCAUUAAAAAGGGGGACUGGUUUUCCCUCUCUGUA